AGAGUUUGAUCAUGGCUCAGAUUGAACGCUGGCGGCAGGCUUAACACAUGCAAGUCGAGCGGAGACUUCGGUCUUAGCGGCGAACGGGUGAGUAAUACCUAGGAAUCUGCCUAUUAGUGGGGGAUAACGAAUCGAAAGGUUCGCUAAUACCGCAUACGUCCUACGGGAGAAAGGGGGGGAUCUUCGGACCUCUCGCUAAUAGAUGAGCCUAGGCCGGAUUAGCUAGUUGGUAGGGUAAAGGCCUACCAAGGCGACGAUCUGUAGCUGGUCUGAGAGGAUGGCCAGCCACACUGGAACUGAGACACGGUCCAGACUCCUACGGGAGGCAGCAGUGGGGAAUAUUGGACAAUGGGGGCAACCCUGAUCCAGCCAUGCCGCGUGUGUGAAGAAGGCCUUCGGGUUGUAAAGCACUUUAAGCGAGGAGGAAGGUUUAUAGGUUAAUACCCUAUAGAAUUGACGUUACUCGCAGAAUAAGCACCGGCUAACUCUGUGCCAGCAGCCGCGGUAAUACAGAGGGUGCAAGCGUUAAUCGGAAUUACUGGGCGUAAAGCGCGCGUAGGCGGUUUGUUAAGUCGGAUGUGAAAUCCCUGGGCUCAACCUAGGCACUGCAUCCGAUACUGGCUAACUAGAGUGUGGGAGAGGAAGGUAGAAUUCCAGGUGUAGCGGUGAAAUGCGUAGAGAUCUGGAGGAAUACCGAUGGCGAAGGCAGCCUUCUGGCCUAACACUGACGCUGAGGUGCGAAAGCAUGGGGAGCAAACAGGAUUAGAUACCCUGGUAGUCCAUGCUGUAAACGAUGUCAACUAGCCGUUGGGGACCUUGAUUCUUUAGUGGCGCAGCUAACGCGAUAAGUUGACCGCCUGGGGAGUACGGUCGCAAGACUAAAACUCAAAUGAAUUGACGGGGGCCCGCACAAGCGGUGGAGCAUGUGGUUUAAUUCGAUGCAACGCGAAGAACCUUACCUGGCCUUGACAUGUCUGGAAUCCUGCAGAGAUGCGGGAGUGCCUUCGGGAAUCAGAACACAGGUGCUGCAUGGCUGUCGUCAGCUCGUGUCGUGAGAUGCUGGGUUAAGUCCCGCAACGAGCGCAACCCUUUUCUUUAUUUGCCAGCACGUAAUGGUGGGAACUCUAAAGAUACUGCCGGUGACAAACCGGAGGAAGGCGGGGACGACGUCAAGUCAUCAUGGCCCUUACGGCCAGGGCUACACACGUGCUACAAUGGUUGGUACAGAGGGUUGCUACCCCGCGAGGGCAUGCCAAUCUCAUAAAGCCAAUCGUAGUCCAGAUUGGAGUCUGCAACUCGACUCCAUGAAGUCGGAAUCGCUAGUAAUCGCGGAUCA
rnacentral:rRNA from 1 species